rnacentral:lncRNA from 1 species
AGAGCUGGAUGCCUCCCACGGAGAGCGUCCCUUCCAAGCGGCCCCGGAGUGGAGUGGAGUGGAGUGGAUAGGGGUAGACUUUUCACACGGGGACAAAUUAUUACAGGAUAUCUGCGCCCCCUGUUCCGAGUCACUCGGGGCCAUCGGUUACUUCAGCAGGUUCUCUGCAUCACGGACCCUUUUGAGGCUCAGGUAAAAGUUUGGAUCCUCUCCCCACAAACGAGCAAAAUUAUCUGUACAUUGAAAAUUAUGCAUUGAGAAAAUUCACAUUACUCUAGAAACCCUUAGACUGCAGUUCCUAACCCAAGUUAAGAACCCGCGGUCCAGGAACUAGGGGUAACGAUAGAAGAGAGACUUGUUUUUCUUUGUAUAACCAUUUGCACCGUUGUAACUUUUUGACCAUGUUUCUUUAUCCAAAUGAAAUUUCCGAAAAAAGAAAACUCCUGCCCCAGAACUUCGUAGGAAAACUAGCUUGAUUAUGGAAUUACAAAUAAUAGUAAGAGAAAAAAGGCUAAGUGGUGGCCGUGAUAGGACUUAAUGGUAUUUCAAUUCCCAGAGUUACAGUGGCGGCUUCAAGGGAUUGUUGAAUAAUUGGGAGUACUUGUUUCAGCUUCUUUCCUUCCUCAGCCUGAACAUCUGCUGUUUAUGUAACUUAAUUUCCUAAGUCUGCGAUUUCAAGAAUUUGAUGCAACAUCUUUCUGUUCUAGGAAUUUACCAUGGAAAUUAUUGGCCAUAAUUGUUGGUGACACUAUCAAACUCAUAGUCACUCUAUAACGAUAUGGAGCCUUGCUCUGUCACCCAGGCUGGUGUGCAAUGGCACAAUCUCGACUCACUGCAACCUCCAUCUCCAAGGUUCAAGUUAUUCUCCUGCCUCAACCUCCUGAGUAGCUGGAGUUCAAUGGCACAAUCUCGACUCACUGCAACCUCCAUCUCCAAGGUUCAAGUUAUUCUCCUGCCUCAACCUCCUGAGUAGCUGGGAUUACAGACGUGCACAACCAUGCCCACCUAAUUUUUAUUUUUAGUAGAGACCAUGUUGGCCAGGCUUGUCUCGAACUCCUGACUUCAGGUGAUCCUCCUGCCUCGGCCUCCCAAAGUGCUAUGAUUACAGGCGUGAGCCACCACCACUGUGCCCAGUGUUAGCAAUUAUUUACAACAACUGAUACUCUUACCUUUCUUCCUAUAGAUCUAAUUAUAUGGAAAGAUACAAUCAUUUUUGACCAAAUUUUUAUCUUACUAUGUUGUACUCUACUCAUCUACAUUUCUUCCAGUAGUGGCAGUAAUUUUCCUAUAUACAAAUACAUCCAUAUAUAAGCACACAGUAUAUAUACAAUAUAUAUAAAACAUAUAGACAAGUUAAAAAUAUGGAAGGAAAGAUUAUAAAAGCAAUAAAAACAUAAAAUAUGGAAGAAUAAAGUAAAAAAAAAUGCGAUGGACCUGUGUGGAAAAGCUACAGGACAAUAGGGGGAGGUGAAAGAGGAUUUUAAUGAAAGGAGGGACAUGCUUUGUUCCCGGAAAGACAAUAUUGUGAAAUUUUGACUUCUAUUGAGAAUAGAAUUGUUUCUACUCUCAACAAUUCCACUCAUUUUUGUGGUCAAAACAGCAUAUAGUUGUAUCUUUUUUUGGUAAAUGCUAAAUCUGACAGUUGUUGCCCUUUAAUAAAAGAAACUCUUUCAUAUAUUAAUAAUUGGUAUACCCGAUUUUGCUUCAGCCAUCAUGUUUACACUUUCAGCCAUCAUGGUUUAUACUUUCCACUCAUUGUAUAUUCUUGCUUUCUUUCUUUUCCUUGGAAAGAAAAGUCUUCGGCUAAAUGGAUUUUUUUUUCUUUUUUUAAAGAGAAAGGGUCUUGCUCUUGUCGCCCAUGCUAGAUUGCUAUGCCACUAUCAAAGCUCACUUCAAGGCCAGGCAUGAUGGCUCACGCCUGUAAUCCCAGCACUUUGAGAGGCCAAGGCAGGCGGAUCGCUUGAGCUCAGGAGUUCAAGACCAGCCUGGGCAACAUGGCAAAACCCCAUCUCUACAAAAAAAUACCAAAAAAUUUAGCCAGGUGUGGUGGCAUAUGCCUCUAGUCCCAGCUACUCGGGAGGCAGAGAUGGGAGGAACACUUGAGCCCAGAAGGCAAAGGUUGCAGUGAACCAAGAUUGUGCCUUUGCCCUCCAGCCUUGGUGACAGAGGGAGACUCUGUCUCAAGGAAAAAAAAAAAAAAAGCUCACUGCAGCCUGGAACUCCUGACCUCAAGUGAUCCUCUUGCCUCAGCCUCCCAAAAUGCUGGGAUUAGAAGUACUGUAUCCCCCCUUUUUUUUUUUUUUUUGUCAGAGUCUCGCACUGUCGCCCAGGCUGGAGUGCAGUGGCGCAAUCUUGGCUCACUGCAACCUCCGCCUCCCAGGUUCAAGUGAUUCUCCUUGCUUCAGCCUCCUGAGUAGCUGGGAUUACAGGUGCACGCUACCAUGCCCAGCCAAUUUUUGUUUUUGCUUUGUUUUGUUUUUUUAAGACAGAGUCUUGCUCUGUUGCCCAGGCUGGAGAGCAGUGGCGUGAUCUCUGCUCACUGCAACCUCUGCUUCCUGGAUUCAAGUGAUUCUCCUGCCUCAGCCUCUUGAGUAGCUGGGACUACAGGCACGUGCCACCAUGCCUGGCUAAUGUUUUGUAUUUUUAGUAGAGACGUGGUUUCACCAUGUUAGCCAGGAUGGUCUUGAUCUCCUGACCUCAUGAUCUGCCCGCCUUGGCCUCUCAAAGUGCUGGGAUUACAGGCAUGAGCCACUGCGCCCGGCCUAAUUUUUGUAUUUUUAGUAGAGAAAGUGUUUCAUCAUGUUGGCCAGGGUGGUCUCGAACUUCUGACCUCAGGUGAUCUGCCUGCCUUGGCCUCCCAAAGUAUUGGGAUUACAGACAUGAGCCACCACACCUGGCCAGAAGUACUGUAUCCUGUUUCCACUUUCAUGGUGGUGAAUUUUACCUUUUAGAAAACAAUAGUUAUUUUUAUUUUCUGAUUAUAAAAGUAAUACAUACUCAUGAACAGAAAUUUGGAAUAAAUAGCAAACUAGAAGGAAAGUGCCAUGCAGAGAUAAUCACUAUUAAUAUCUUUAAUUUUUCGUAUUAUUAAAUUUUUUCGACCGCAGCC